GACGAACGCUGGCGGCGUGCUUAACACAUGCAAGUCGAACGGAAAGGCCCUGCUUUUGUGGGGUGCUCGAGUGGCGAACGGGUGAGUAACACGUGAGUAACCUGCCCUUGACUUUGGGAUAACUUCAGGAAACUGGGGCUAAUACCGGAUAGGAGCUCCUGCUGCAUGGUGGGGGUUGGAAAGUUUCGGCGGUUGGGGAUGGACUCGCGGCUUAUCAGCUUGUUGGUGGGGUAGUGGCUUACCAAGGCUUUGACGGGUAGCCGGCCUGAGAGGGUGACCGGCCACAUUGGGACUGAGAUACGGCCCAGACUCCUACGGGAGGCAGCAGUGGGGAAUAUUGCACAAUGGGCGGAAGCCUGAUGCAGCAACGCCGCGUGCGGGAUGACGGCCUUCGGGUUGUAAACCGCUUUCGCCUGUGACGAAGCGUGAGUGACGGUAAUGGGUAAAGAAGCACCGGCUAACUACGUGCCAGCAGCCGCGGUGAUACGUAGGGUGCGAGCGUUGUCCGGAUUUAUUGGGCGUAAAGGGCUCGUAGGUGGUUGAUCGCGUCGGAAGUGUAAUCUCGGGGCUUAACCCUGAGCGUGCUUUCGAUACGGGUUGACUUGAGGAAGGUAGGGGAGAAUGGAAUUCCUGGUGGAGCGGUGGAAUGCGCAGAUAUCAGGAGGAACACCAGUGGCGAAGGCGGUUCUCUGGGCCUUUCCUGACGCUGAGGAGCGAAAGCGUGGGGAGCGAACAGGCUUAGAUACCCUGGUAGUCCACGCUGUAAACGGUGGGUACUAGGUGUGGGGUCCAUUCCACGGGUUCCGUGCCGUAGCUAACGCUUUAAGUACCCCGCCUGGGGAGUACGGCCGCAAGGCUAAAACUCAAAGGAAUUGACGGGGCCCCGCACAAGCGGCGGAGCAUGCGGAUUAAUUCGAUGCAACGCGUAGAACCUUACCUGGGUUUGACAUGGAUCGGGAGUGCUCAGAGAUGGGUGUGCCUCUUUUGGGGUCGGUUCACAGGUGGUGCAUGGCUGUCGUCAGCUCGUGUCGUGAGAUGUUGGGUUAAGUCCCGCAACGAGCGCAACCCUUGUUCACUGUUGCCAGCACGUUAUGGUGGGGACUCAGUGGAGACCGCCGGGGUCAACUCGGAGGAAGGUGGGGAUGACGUCAAGUCAUCAUGCCCCUUAUGUCCAGGGCUUCACGCAUGCUACAAUGGCUGGUACAGAGAGUGGCGAGCCUGUGAGGGUGAGCGAAUCUCGGAAAGCCGGUCUCAGUUCGGAUUGGGGUCUGCAACUCGACCUCAUGAAGUCGGAGUCGCUAGUAAUCGCAGAUCAGCAACGCUGCGGUGAAUACGUUCCCGGG
rnacentral:rRNA from 1 species